rnacentral:rRNA from 1 species
ACGCUCGACACCUACGGGAGGCUGCAGUGGGGAAUAUUGCACAAUGGGGGAAACCCUGAUGCAGCGACGCCGCGUGAAGGAAGAAGUAUCUCGGUAUGUAAACUUCUAUCAGCAGGGAAGAAAAUGACGGUACCUGACUAAGAAGCCCCGGCUAACUACGUGCCGGCAGCCGCGGUAAUCUGAGCGGGCUGGCAAGGC